UGAUGCGAUCUGGGCCGUCCGUGCGUUAUUUAAUCUGGGUCGUCCGUGUAAACAGCCCCGGAAAUUCAUAAUGGAAUGUAUAUUAAAAAUAUCAAAUGCGGAAACGAAGUCAAAAAUUCGAUUAACAUCCCUUACACCAAAACCAAAAACGUGCUCACAAAAUAUAAAAAAUCAAACUAUCAAAAGGAGAAACUUGAAAGUAAAAGCUACGAAUAUGACUAUGGAGUCUUUAGGCGUCCCCUUCGUCGUCGUCCUGCGGAACCGGCUCGGGAACGAUGUCCU
rnacentral:lncRNA from 1 species